CAGCCUUCCACAUCUGCUGAGCUCUGCAUCCUCUCAAAGGGCUGAGUUACAGGGCACAGGUGAGAUUAAUGAGCACUCAAGGAGUCCCACGACUGAAGGGUUCAUUCUCAGCACUGCAUGGUUGUGGAUGCAAUUGAUGAGGUGAUCUUUUUUAUUUGAGGUUCUCUGUCGGCCUAACAUUCUCUCUUUGUUUCUGUUAUGAUUAUGAUCCACACUUAAUGUCUGACUUGUAGACAUUUGAGUGCAGAAUGAAACCACUAACUGGUUGUGUGUAAUCCUAGUCUCUAGUCAGCCACCUUUAUCCAUAAGUAGGGGAUAAGACACCUCUGCACCGGUGCAGAGACCCUCACACACAGCACAGCAGGUGGUGGGGUUGUCCACCUAAAGAUGUACAUUCACAGGUCCCCUCCUCAAAUGAGGCUUAAGUCAGGACCCUGAGUCGAUUUACCUUAGAUUCAAUUCAAGGAGUUGGAGGAGGGACAGAAUAUCAGUGGGAAAUUCUGUGGUCUUAAAGCCUUGGGUUCUUAGCAAAGUUGGGGUGGCCUUGGUUAUAUCUUUGCACCUUGGAAGGAAGUAGACUUACACUGAGAGAAGGCAAGAGAAGUGGAUGGUUUUGGUCAACUUGACACAGAGACACGAGGAGAAAAAAAUUCAACUAAGAAAUUACCUCCACUUUUCUUCCUGUGGUCACGUCCAUGGGCUAUUUUCUUGGUCCCUGAGGAGUUCCAUAAAGACCACUGUGGGCAGCACCACUCCUAGGCAGUGGUUCUCUGUCAUACAAGAAGGCAAGCUGAGGAAGCCAGGGAGAAUAAGUCAGUGGGUAACUUUCUUCCAUUUUUCUUGGCUCUGCUCCUGCUUGACUCCUUACCCUGACUUUCCUCAGUGAAGGGUUUCACUGGGAUGCCAAUUAAACCAACCAUUUUUUCCCUAACCAAGGCUUUUUGCCCUGGCAUUGAUCACAGCCUUAGAAUUCAAACUGGGACAACAAACAGCCAAAGGCAGUCCCAUGCGCAUGGAUUGCUGCGGGAUAUUUGAUUAAACUCUUAAACCUUCAAACCAGAGAUUGUGCAUUUUUCUUGAAUAAUGUGUUCCUAGUUGUGGUAUUGCUCAACCUUAGUACACACCUUUAAUCACAACAGCGAAGGUAAAGUACAGUGCAGAAAGUAGCAUCAUGUUUAAAAGUUCCGUCUAAUUGAGUGGCAGACAAAGUGAUGAAUACAAGAAAAAUUUGACAGAAGAGUAUACGCCUCACUCUCACAAGAAGAGAGAGGAAAAAGCUACUUAAAAGAGAGCAGUGCAGAGAGAAAAAUCAAGACAAGGGAGCAGUUUUACUGGGUGAGUUUAUAAAGAGGAAGAACCAAGAAGGGGUUAGCUCCUUCCAAAGUAAGUCUUAGAGGCUGAAAACAUUCUAGGCCUAGAUAGGAUCAUGUGGAGGCUCCAAGCUUCUAAGACGAGGCUUAAGCUAUCGUCAAAGUCUACAAUUACACUAAGAGAAUGAACAAUGCAUUUGCAGGGGAGUAAAAAUGCAACACCCUAGUCCAUUGCUUGAGGGAGGGCAGGUCCUGUCUCUGAAGGAGACUAUGAGCAGGACCAGGGAUGUGGAUCAGGACAGAGUGGAUCUUUUAUUGGGUCCCUUAGUCUCCCAAGUCGUUAUGAGCUAGUCAAUGACACAAAGACAAACCUGAGCGUGACCUCUGGUUGAGCAUGAGAUCCUGUCCCACAGUUGGAGUAGUGUCCCAGGGAAGUAAGAACUGGGAACACUACACAUUUUUUCCCAGAAGCAGACAAGACACUGAGGCAGUUCUUCGGGAGGUGUCCUGACAUUUCCUGAAAAACCAUCUGAGAGCAAGCCAGCACCCAAGGUCACAAGGGAGAGCUAAAAAUCCAUUCUCUUAUCUGUAAGGAGUCAACUUAGUUGUUUGGCAGGACCCUGUGAGGCGAAGAGGCAUGACAGGAGCCUGGAGAGGGGUGUGCUAAGACACCUCGGUGCUUCUAAGACGAGUAUCCACAUGCCUACAAGACUCCAGUUGCGGCUGCCACCUUUCCGGGCAUUCCACAUCUAAUGAUGCCCUUUAAUAUACACUGGAAGCAACAUUGUUGGCCAGAACCAAAAAAAAAAAAAAAAUUCAAGUUAGAGAGGGCCAAGAGCUCCUGGUGUCUUGAAUCUUUCUGCCUUUCUUCCUCCAGGUCCCAAAAUCAGAAGCCUGUGAAUGUGGUGUUGACAAACCUCCCUUGUAGAGAGACUCUCCUAUGUCUCCGUAGAAGCAUCUCCUGCCAAUAAGUAGUCAUCCGAUUGGCUGAGGCAGGAAAUAGAAGGGAGAUCCACCAGCAGAGAGAGUGGAGGGAGGAAGGGAGGGAAGGGGUAGGGGGAGAGAGGGAGGAUUCUGGGACUGAGACAAGAGCAGAAGCUUGGCCCUGAAAUCUGAAGAUGUUGGACUCCUGAAACUGAGGACAGGUAACCAGAAAAGUGGCAGACAUUAACUAGAAGAAACAAGAUAUGAAAGGUACAAGCUAGCCUGAGAAUGAGCCAGGGCUUACGGCCUGGGCAUUUAUUCAUAAAUAAGUCUCAGCAUUGUAAUUCUGAUAACAGAGAUGGUGGGUAGAAAAGGCAGCGGUUACUAAUGGCACACUGAAUGUGAGGUUAGAAUCCAGGCUUAGAGCCUGAGAAAUCUUGGUUGCAAAACAACUUCCCAGGCAAGCAGCAGUAAACCACAGAGAGGCAAUUCAAAAGUCACAAGCUAUGAUAAUCAUCAUCAUCACUAUCACCAUCACCAUCACCAUAGCAACAAUACUUUUAAAAACUUGCUGAAAACUUACUGAGAGGAAAGGGCUCUGCUACUGGCACCUCAGUGCAGCUCCUGGGUGCUGCUCCUCUAAUUGGUGACUCCUGAGCCCAUACAGCUGGAGGGUGCAGUGCUGAUCAAAGGUCUCUCUCAGGCCACAGCUUUAAUGCACUUCCCUGGUGCAGCAGAGCAACUGAGCAGCUGGGCCUGUCAGAACCCAGCAUGCGCCUAUGGGAGGAGCCUGCAAUGGCCCCUAGACAAAAACAGUGCACUGGAAUUCUGAGAGCCUGAUCUACCUUCCCAGAGAGGCCAGCAGAUACAGGGCAAAGAGCAGCUCCAGCCCCUAACUGUCAAGGGCAGCCUGCAGGACCAAGGAGAGAUUGUAGCCAGCGGCCAUAGACAUGCGCUGGCCUCAGCAGCCUGCAGAAAGGCAGAAAGGCAGAAGGACUACAUAUACUACUGUUUUGACUGUGAGCAAGAAGUGACUAUGUGCAGGAGUGAUUGGAGUUUUCUAGAACAACUUUUAAGUUCAGAAUAAAGCAGGCGUAACUAAGAGAGGGAUGGGAGGUGGAACGCUAGGUCAGAAGCCACAGACAAAGGUGAGAGGAAACUUUAAAUCAGAAUAAAGAGUCUUGAAAGGUUCUGAUCCGGAACCUAGAAUGAGAGCAGAAACUAUUUCCAGAAGAGAAAAAUGCAUAAAGGCUUGAGGAAGGAAAAUGGCUGCCAAUACAGGCUCAAUAUUCUCAGUCAAGAAUCCAGAUUCUGCUUAAACAUGCCACAUUAAAGCAGCAUCCUAUAACAGAUUACGUGUCUCAUUUUGUAGAUUUCAAAAAUUCAAAACAUGCACGUAUGUUGAUAUAUCAUACACUGGUUAUACAUUCAGACUUCCACACGGCUUCUGCCUUGAAUUCUGCAAAGGAUGAUUCUGAAAUUCUACACUUAUUACCCAUACUGGCUAUCUGUGAAAUGCCUUCGCAAACUCGACCUGAUGAUGCCUUAACAUGUGUAUCCCUUACAAGUUUUAAAGACAUCAUGGCAUAGAAAACGUCACAGAAGUACGUUACCAACCUACAGGUGGACCAAUUAUGGAGAGCUCUCACAGGACUCUAAAGGAAGGGCUCAUACAACAAAGGAGGAAUAUGGGAUCUCUCAAAAGAUAGAUUGCAUACUGUUUCAUUGGGUUUAAAUGUUUUAAAUGCCAAAGAGGCAGAUAAAACACCAGCUAAAAAGCACUAGGUCUUAGAAAGGACUCUGAGUCAGAUCAGAAUAAUAUCUGAUAACCUCAGAAUAGAAGGCAAGAAAUGUGGGGCAUCAAGGAAAAGAAUAUGCUCCUGCUUCAACAGGAAAAGGGAAACUGUCGGGUCUUUCAAAAUUAAUAAAUGUCAGAGUUAACUGGGAGAAAACUCCUGAAGAUCCUGACUACAGACAAAAAGAAAGUAAUCAUGAAGACCAACCAAAAGGGUAACGUGAUUGUCUGAUCCCUCUACAUGGGAACAGCACUCGACGGAGAGAGACGUGAAGAAGUCUCCAGCCAAGACCUCAGGUGAGCAUGGCCAGUAAAUCUUGUUGGCCACAGACUCCUCAGGACAGAUCCACGCCAUUCAAAAUGGCAUGGGUGAAAACUCACAUUAAACUUUGGUUAUACAGUCCAAGAUUACAUUUAAAAGAAAAACCAAAACUUUACCUGCUCAUCAAAUCCUCCUUAACCGAUUGAGCACACCUCGUACCCCAUCAGUGUGCAGUUCAUGCAAAAGCGUACAUUACCUAUAGGAGUCUAUAUACUUACAGUCACCAAUGAAGUAAAAGAAGCCAUGAGAAGAUCUGCUGUCAGGGUGCUGAGUAUGAUACUAUGACCCUGAGACAUAUUCAUCCUAUCAACCUGCUAGGCUCAGCCUCAGACUGCAGCCAAAGCCAUUUCAUCAAAUCCCCUUCUACAUCAACUUCAAAGCUGCUGGUUCUAGUUGGUCCAGCCCUUCAGACUGUCCCAUGAAUGUUUUGAUUCAAGCCCCACACUUUCUCAGAAGUCAGAGACUGGACAACUAAAGUUAUAGCCAGCUUUCUUAACGCAGGCCGAGAUUCCAAUUCUUUGGGCACCCACAGGUAAAAGAUACCACCAAACGGCAGGAAGCAAUGUGCAGAGAAUGACACUCUAUUCACAAAAGGAUGGGGUGGGUGAUUUUGCUUAUUUAUAAGGUAGUAUAUGUUUGCCAUCUUUUAAGGGGGCCUGGGUAAAAGUUGUUAAUGGUCCUGAUUAGGGUGGAAACAAAGGAAAGGAGUUUAGACUCAGUGAUUUCUUUUUUUCCUCUUCCUUUUUCUUUCUUCUAUUCCUUUUCCUGUCUCCUAACUAAUGUUCAGGUGGAAACAUGGGUAGAAUGUGUGAAAAGAAAACUGGGAUAUAAAAAUAAUAGCAAUACACACACACACAUAUAUAUUCAUAUGUAUGUAUGUAUAUAUGUAUGUAUGCAUGUAUGUAUGUAUGUAUGUGUGCAUGUAUAAGAAUACAAGUGUAGAUUAUGGAAUAUACUUUUAGACCAAAGAACAUCAACCAGCCAAAUAAUUUUACAUUUGGCCUGGGCUUUGUAUCUCGAUGCAGAUCGAGGACUUUGUUUUGCUGCAUUAAACUCUUGUUUAAUGUACUGUACCUAUGUAAUGUGAAAUUUUAGUCAUUGUAGGAUGGAGACGGAAUUCAGUCUUAGUCGGAGACAAAUAAGACGCAGGGAAGUCGAUGGUCAAGCUCUGCCAAGACAAGGUGAACCCAACAGAGGCCUGCUCAAGAGCAAGUAAGGAGCAGAGAUGGGAAGCAUCCCACCACAGCUCUGCUCUGCAAUCCAUUCAAUGCCUGUGCUGCCUUGGGCAAUUCCUGUGCGGCCACAGGACAGGCUAAGGGACGCCCAUCCAACAUCCCACCCCCGUGCAUACCUAGGAAGCACCUUGAUGGCUUCUCACACUAACCAGGCUCCCUCAGGUCUACGCUGAAGCUCCAGCAGCCUGUGAACUUCCCAUUGUCCUGUGAGUCCCCCCUGGGAGAUGUAGGACAUAGUAUAUGGCUGACAGCAGGAGGCUCUGAGGAUAUAGGAGAUGGGCUUCAGUUGUGGGAGCAUGAAUGGACUCCAGGAUCUGACCCAGAACCAAGUCCCAGGAAUGCUCAAGCUGUGGACAUGAAAGGCUUCUGUCUACAGUGAGUGUGUGGUGAGUCUACAUUGCAGAAGGACCACACACAGAGGUUGAGGGAACACAAAGUGAAAGGUCACUACCAUGCAGUUCAGUCAGCCUGUGUGACCUUCUUUCCUGUGGGAAGUGUUGGGGCAGGCACACAGCACAUCUGUCUCACUGAGUCCAAGAAAGCUGCAAACCUUGUGUGUGAACCUCGAAGGCUUCAGUGACUGAGAAACAAGAACUUUCUGACCAUCUUUCUGACACUCGGUCUUCCACAUUUGAAGAGCCUGGAGGAGGGUCUCCUCUUAUGUGUCAGAGGGUAGCCUUGUGACCAAUGUCACUGCGUUCCUUAGGAUGUUGUUCCCAGGCAAUGGGCUGUUCGGCACGUCAGGGCUUGGUGUCUGAGCCAUCUGGCUUGCUCUUUGCUUUCUGGGCUGGGCCUGCCCAUGUGCUCCCUCUACAGUCACCUGUGCCCACGUCAUUGCUGGAGUUGUCUUCUCUCACGGGCCCCACUUCACUCUACUCCACCUCAGCGUCUCCCUGUGGUUGAGAAGAACACCCAGUGCUGAGCUCCAUCAGUGUAUCAGUGUGGAGCGUCACCCUCUGGAGAAGUGGGAGAGACUGGACUCCCACCAUUCUGCAUUCUGGCCAGUAAGACAACAACCAACCCAGUAAGGCAGUGUGUGGACAAUGAGACAGAAUUCUCUACAUGGACUCCAGUCACAAGAGCAGGGCCUCUUUGUCAGCUGCCAAAAACAUUGGUAAUCAGGGAACAAAACCUGAGCAGAUGCCCUCAAUGCCUCUACCCCGAGACCAAAUGUCACCCAUCCUCAUAGGACACUUAAGCAAUGUUCUUUUCUCCUCUUCCCCCAUUGGUUCUAACUCCUAUCAAGGUAAAGACAUUUCCUUCCCGUGGUCAGAUCUGAGUCUUUCUCCAGACGUCAGGUAACACAAUUGAAAAGAGGAUCUGGACCUCUCUGUGCUCGCAUGUCUAUAUGGACAUGCAGGAAUGCACAGGCUCUGGAAGACUUUUCUUUGCCAGCUGCAGGACCAGCUGAGGACCUCUCCACAUCUACUUCUGAAAAGCUUGUACCACGUGUCCUCUGUCAAGGUCAUUCUGUGACUGACAGUGAAGUAGUGAUACCCUGGUCUCCAUAUGAACAUACCCAGUCUGCCCCAACAGGGUGCUACUGUCACUACAGGGACACUGAGGACAGGACUAUGACAGUAGGACGUUGGAUGCAAUGAUGAUGGCAGCACCUUGUAAUGCCGACAAAAGAAGCUCAGGCCACAAAGGAGGUGGACUUCACCUGUGAGACCUGAGUGUUACUCCUGGAUCGGAGUCAACACCAACACCCAGGAAUCCAGGAGCUUUGCAUGGUGGAUGCUUCGGUCCACAGUGUGAGAGGGCGAAGUCCUGAGGUGCACUCACUCUGUGUAGCUGCACGGGGAACAAACUAGGCUUCUCUCCCUGGACUUAAGGGUCCAAAUGAGAAAAAUAGCAAGCAUAGGCUUCUUCAUUUGGGAAGGUGAGCCCCAGAUGAUGCCUAUAUCCUGACCACUUGUAGGUCUCACGAAUUCUGAGGGAACCUCUAAGGCUUGAAUUACUGUGAAACAUGCUGCUGUGUGCACCAGAAUCCUGCCUGAGAGCAGCAUUCACACCCAAAUGGCCAGAACCCAAAAGUAAAGUUGUAGGAGGGGACAGGUGUUCUGGUGACCUCUAACACCACCAGGAUCCCUGAGGCUCACCACCUCCUAAAGCACACGUAACCCACAUCAGUGCAGGUCACACCAGGGCAGCCAUCGCUGCUCCAGAGAUACUGCUGACAGGAAAGGAAGGAGGCCUCAUCUUCUCUGUUGCCCUUGUCUUCAGAAGAAACUUGAACACUUACAUCCCUGCAGAUUUCUUAACCUGGCCUGACCCCCAUGCUAAUCUAAGGUUCCAUAUUCUCCCUGUCUGUGACUAAAGAGAAGACCACAGACAUCUGCAACUCUGAUCCUAUCCAACUGAGACUCCAGUGCUCAAGGCAAGAGUGGACAGAGACUUCUCAGUCAUACCCAAGAAAAUGUCCAAAAUCAAGCUCUGGGGGAGGUAAGAGUGGGAGAUGCUGCAGGGCUGUGGACAGAGUCUAGAGUCUAGGGAAUGAAGUCUGUCCUCAUUAGGGCCAGGAGACAAAGGAGGAAUGGCGGAGCAAACACAGAUGACAUUGGUGUCCUGAUGUAAAGCCCAAGAUGGGGGGGGGGGCUACUGAGAAUCCUGAGCCCUGUGAGAGUGACCCAGGACAAGGACAGUGGGUGGACCUGGUCCCCUUCACUUCAGGCUGCAGUGUUGUUACCAUGACCUAUAGAAGCACAUGUCCCAGUGAACUAUCCUCUGGCAAGGCUACUCGAACCUUCAAGCUCAUGGGAUGACUGUCCCGCCUCCAUAGAGGUGAACUGGCAUUACAAGUUGCUACUGUCACUGUGGUGACCAUAAGGAUAGGAGGAACAUGAGAGUGGGUGGCUGCAUGGGAAAAUGUUGGGGAGGCAAAGCUAUACCUGGAAGCUACAUGGUGUAAACCCUGAGCCCGUCUUCAGGCCUUCAUUCUAUGAUGGUGUCCUCCUAGUCACAACCCUGUCACCAGAAGACAGCAAUAUCUUCCCAGACUCCUCAGCCUUGCUUCUCAGUCUUGAGAUUGAAGAGCCUCCAGGAGGCCUCUGCAGAUCAGUCAGUGGGUGGCCCCUGACC
ensembl:lncRNA